rnacentral:rRNA from 1 species
UACAGAGGUCUCAAGCGUUGUUCGGAUUCAUUGGGCGUAAAGGGUGCGUAGGCGGCGCGGUAAGUCGGGUGUGAAAUCUUGGAGCUUAACUCCGAAACUGCAUUCGAUACUGCGGUGCUUGAGGACUGGAGAGGAGACUGGAAUUCAUGGUGUAGCAGUGAAAUGCGUAGAGAUCAUGAGGAAGACCAGUGGCGAAGGCGGGUCUCUGGACAGUUCCUGACACUGAGACACGAAGGCCAGGGGAGCAAACGGGG